rnacentral:rRNA from 1 species
UACGUAGGGUGCUAGCGUUGUCCGGAUUUAUUGGGCGUAAAGAGCUCGUAGGCGGUUUGUCGCGUCGGCUGUGAAAACCCGGGGCUCAACCCCGGGCCUGCAGUCGAUACGGGCAGACUAGAGUGCGGUAGGGGAGACGUGGAAUUCCUGGUGUAGCGGUGAAAUGCGCAGAUAUCAGGAGGAACACCGGUGGCGAAGGCGGGUCUCUGGGCCGUAACUGACGCUGAGGAGCGAAAGCGUGGGGAGCGAACAGG